rnacentral:rRNA from 1 species
GUAACAUGANCGCAUGAUUCANGUUUGAAAGGCGGCGCAAGCUGUCACUUUAGGAUGAGCCCGCGGCGCAUUAGCUAGUUGGUGGGGUAAAGGCNUACCAAGGCAAUGAUGCGUAGCCGAGUUGAGAGACUGAUCGGCCACAUUGGGACUGAGACACGGCCCAAACUCCUACGGGAGGCAGCAGUAGGGAAUCUUCCACAAUGGACGCAAGUCUGAUGGAGCAACGCCGCGUGAGUGAAGAAGGUUUUCGGAUCGUAAAGCUCUGUUGUUGGUGAAGAAGGAUAGAGGCAGUAACUGGUCUUUAUUUGACGGUAAUCAACCAGAAAGUCACGGCUAACUACGUGCCAGCAGCCGCGUAAUUACCAAUAA